UACGUAGGGUGCGAGCGUUAAUCGGAAUUACUGGGCGUAAAGCGUGCGCAGGCGGUUUUGCAAGCCGGAUGUGAAAUCCCCGGGCUCACCUGGGAAUGGCAUUCGGGACUGCAAGGCUGGAGUGCGGCAGAGGAGACUGGAAUUCCUGGUGUAGCAGUGAAAUGCGUAGAUAUCGUGAGGAAGACCAGUGGCGGAAGGCGGUUCUCUGGGCCAUUACCUGACGCUGGAGGAGCGAAAGCGUGGGGAGCAAACAGG
rnacentral:rRNA from 1 species